GACGAACGCUGGCGGCGUGCUUAACACAUGCAAGUCGAACGGAAAGGCCCUGCUUGCAGGGUACUCGAGUGGCGAACGGGUGAGUAACACGUGGGUGAUCUGCCCUGCACUUCGGGAUAAGCCUGGGAAACUGGGUCUAAUACCGGAUAGGAGCCAUUUUUAGUGUGAUGGUUGGGAAGUUUUUUUCGGUGUAGGAUGAGCUCGCGGCCUAUCAGCUUGUUGGUGGGGUAAUGGCCUACCAAGGCGGCGACGGGUAGCCGGCCUGAGAGGGUGGACGGCCACAUUGGGACUGAGAUACGGCCCAGACUCCUACGGGAGGCAGCAGUGGGGAAUAUUGCACAAUGGGCGCAAGCCUGAUGCAGCGACGCCGCGUGGGGGAUGACGGCCUUCGGGUUGUAAACUCCUUUCGCUAGGGACGAAGCUUUUUGUGACGGUACCUAGAUAAGAAGCACCGGCUAACUACGUG
rnacentral:rRNA from 1 species